rnacentral:rRNA from 1 species
UACAGAGGGGGCAAGCGUUGCUCGGAAUUACUGGGCGUAAAGGGCGCGUAGGCGGACAGUUUAGUCAGAGGUGAAAGCCCAGGGCUCAACCUUGGAAUUGCCUUUGAUACUGGCUGUCUUGAGUUCGGGAGAGGUGAGUGGAAUGCCGAGUGUAGAGGUGAAAUUCGUAGAUAUUCGGCGGAACACCAGUGGCGAAGGCGACUCACUGGCCCGAUACUGACGCUGAGGCACGAAAGCGUGGGGAGCAAACAGG